UGUUUACUCCAUGUGUAACUCUGUGUUGUGUCACACUGCUUUGCUUUAUCUUGGCCAGGUCGCAGGGGCGACCUCAACUAGCUUACCUGGUUAAAUAAAGGUGUUCUCAACUAGCCUACCUGGUUAAAUACAGGUGUUCUCAACUAGCCUACCUGGUUAAAUAAAGGUGUUCUCAACUAGCCUACCUGGUUAAAUACAGGUGUUCUCAACUAGCCUACCUGGUUAAAUACAGGUGUUCUCAACUAGCCUACCUGGUUAAAUACAGGUGAAAUAAAACAUUUAAAAAGUAAUGAUGGUUAAAUACAUGUAGGCUAAUUAACAUGUAUUAGCAAAACUAUUUUGUCUUGGAAGUCACAUUAGUAGGUGUUCAGUGCAUGAGAGAACUUACAUUUUAGUCAUGUUAUUGUGUCAUUGCAGCAUCAUUUUGUCCACAACUCUUUUGGUUAAAGGCAGUGCUACACCUGGCUACCUACCCAACCCUGCAACUUUGAGAAGUCCAGUAUUGUCUUUCUCCUUCCUAACAUACCAUUCUGCAGAAAGUGUCCUACGUCUUGUGUUGGGAGAAUGCACUGCCUUGUGUACAGAACAUACAAUAUGUUACAAAGAGAGUGGAGGCUAGAGGCUUAAAACCACUAGUUUGAUACACUAUUCAUACACUCUGCUAG
rnacentral:lncRNA from 1 species